rnacentral:lncRNA from 1 species
UGUAUUUGUGCUAAUGAAAGAGGUGUGUAUUUAAUAGUGUAUAAAAUAGGCAGAAAUAAGGUAGGAAAACAAUUAUGGAACCGGACUAUCAAUUAAAAUCAAUCAAUACAAGACUUCCUUUAAUUAAGGACUCAUACUCAAACUGUAAAAACUAUUCAACGAAAGGAAUCAAAUAAGCAGUUUGUGUAAAGUAGGCAAUUAGGGGUCGAUAUAUAAGAGAUUACUUAAGGGAAGAACUUUGAGAUACAUGGUUACAUAAAUAAGGUAAGAGAAAUCAAUCAGUAGCAAGUAAAUUAAGGAUCCAAGAUUUUAUAAUCACUGGUUCAUGAAUGAACCAGGUCAGAAAAGCUAAGAAAAGUUUUUAACUUAAGUCGAGUCACAGGGCAAUCAAACAAGGAAGGAAAUCAAUCACACCUAUACAGAAGGAAGUCUGAAAUCAAAAAAAAAAAAAAAUUGAAAGCCACUUUAUAGGGAAGUUCAGCACAUAUGAAGAGCACACAAACAUGCUAAGCUGAAAGAAAAAUGUCAUGUCAUUGCAAAAUCAGUAGAUAAUAGAUUGUAGGAGCAUGGUUGUCACAUAGGUUAGCAAUGUAGAAGAGAGAUAGUAUCAAAUACCAUACAAAAGGUCCGAUCUAAAAGACUUUAGAAGAGUUUAGUGGAGAAUCAGAAUUGCUUUAGGAGAUAGAGUUUGAAACAAAGAUUUCAAGACUUUGUUGAGCAACAGAUAAAACGACUUUAGAAUCUCAAAGUAGUUAGGGUUUCUAAAA